rnacentral:rRNA from 1 species
AAACAUGGCUCUUUGAGAUUUAUAUAUAAAGAGUCGGGCCUGCCCAGUGAUGUAUUUUUAACGGCCGCGGUACUCUGACCGUGCGAAGGUAGCAUAAUCAUUUGCCCUAUAAUUGAGGGCUAGUAUGAAUGGUUUGACAUGAGCAUAACUGUCUCCUUAAAAUUUUAUAAAAUUUGGUUUUUAGGUGAAGAAACCUAAAUUAAAUUGAAAGACAAGAAGACCCUAUCGAGCUUUAGAAUAAUUAGUUAAAAAAUAUAAAUAAAACAAUUAAUUUUAAUUAAAAACUUUGGUUGGGGCGACUGAGGAACAUAUAAAGCUUCCUUAAUUAAACAAUGCUGAUAAGCAAUGAUCCAGGAAAUCUGAUUAAAAAAAUUAGUUACCGUAGGGAUAACAGCAUAAUCUUUUUUGAGAGCUCUUAUUGAAAAAAAGGUUUGUGACCUCGAUGUUGGACUAGGAUAUCCUAAAGAUGUAGAAGUCUUUAAUGGUUGCUCUGUUCGAGCAUAAAAAUCCUACGUGAUCU